rnacentral:rRNA from 1 species
UACGUAGGUGGCAAGCGUUGUCCGGAUUUACUUGGCGUAAAGAGCGCGCAGGCGGUUGGAUAAGUCGAAUGUGAAAGCCCCCGGCUCAACUGGGGAGGGUCAUUCGAUACUGUCCGACUCGAAGGCAGGAGAGGGAAGCGGAAUUCCCGGUGUAGUGGUGAAAUGCGUAGAUAUCGGGAGGAACACCAGUGGCGAAGGCGGCUUUCUGGCCUGUUCUUGACGCUGAGGCGCGAAAGCCAGGGGAGCAAACGGG